AGCACAGCCAGAGAGGAAUGUGCUGCUGCUGCUGACCCCCGAACCUGCCUCCCCCUCUCCCUCUCUCUCUCUCUCUCUCUCUCUCUCACACACACACACACACACACACACACACACACAGGCAGUUAACCCUUGCCUCUGCCAAAGCACAACAGAGCUAAAGGCUAUUAAGCACACUGUAUCUGUAUCAUAUACUGCUAUAUGAGCACUCCACUCUCUCUCUCUCUCUCUCUCUUUCUCUCUCUCUCUCUCUCUCUCUCUCUCACACACACACACACACAUUCAGAGGCAGAUAACCCAAGCACUGCUGCAGCACAACAGGGCUGAUAGUCUUUAAGCACCCUUUACUCACGCUCAUGUAAACACACACACACACACAAGCGAACAGCUAGUUAAACCCUGGACAGUCACAAUACAAAAAAACAACAUACAUGCAUCAUAUUCCACUUUAUGAACUCUACCCUCACACACUCAUUCUGAAAGCUUCUGUGUGUUUCUUUUUUGAUCACACAGAUAAGACCUGAAACCCCGUGAAGUGCAAUGCUUUCCAUUUCCAUUUUAUUACUGUUUUCUAUUUCUUUGUUUCAUUUCUCUUAAGUUAAUAAUGUAGAAUAUCUCCUUUCUAAUCACUUCUAACUGCUGCAUUCACAGGUACACUUAAAGGCAUGACCGAUUACAUCAUACAAGUGCUAAAUUCGCUCUCGGUUUUGAACAGCUAAGCCUCAUUGUGUGGUGCAGAACUGGAGGAUCUUGCCUGUGUGUGGUGUGUUUUGUGUGUAGGAAGGUUAUCAGUGGACCUUCAGUAGUGUUAAUCUGAAUUACAGCCCUUUGACUUAAGCGUGUGUGGAGGAGGGGGAGAGAAAAGCUCAGAGUGCUGGAUUUCUGAUCUGUUUCCCUGAAAUUCUAAUUAACCCACUUCUAAUCCUAGUUCAGCAUUAUUUGUUUAAUUUAAUAUAAUUUUUUUGGCAUUUUCCCAGCUUAAAAAUAAAUUAAAUACAUAUUGCAGUGGUAAAAAUGCAAGUUUUGAUUUAUUUAUUUAUAGCAAAAUAAAUAAAUAGAUAAAACCUAGAUAAAUAGAUAGGUAGAUAGAUAUAGAUAUAGAUUUUUCAAUAGGUGUAUGCAACCUAUGAAUAAUAUUUAAAAGAAUUAGGGUAAAAAUAUGUUUUUUCAGAUAAUUUAAAUGGAUGGUGCUUUGCUUUGUGCCUUCUAUGGUUUCAACCCUCUUCAUUUUCUUUGUUUUUGGUUUCUGUGUGUGUGUGUGUGUGUGUGUGUGUGUGUGUGUGUGUGUGUGUGUAUGUAUGUGUCUUCUUGGGCUCCUGGUCUUUGAACUGCAGAGCAGGAAUGCAGCUGUGCUCUGCUGGAGUCUGUCAGCUUGGCUCAUUUCUGCUACCCCCAAUAAGUGUGACAGGAGGCGGGCCACUUCCUCCUUGUUAACUCUCCUCUGUGUGGUGCUGUCCAUCAUCGCUGUGUCCAACACCUCUCGCAAAGAUAUCACUCUCCUCUUCAGUGUCUGCUCCCUGCAGAAGAAAACAGGAAC